AUACGGAGGGUGCGAGCGUUAUUCGGAAUUACUGGGCGUAAAGCGCGUGCAGGCGGGUGGAAAAGUCUGAUGUGAAAGCCCCGGGCUCAACCUGGGAAGUGCAUUGGAAACUGUUCAUCUUGAGUGCUGGAGAGGAAGGGGGGGAAUUCCCGGUGUAGAGGUGAAAUUCGUAGAGAUCGGGAGGAAUACCAGUGGCGAAGGCGCCCUUCUGGACGGCAACUGACGCUGAGACGCGAAAGCGUGGGGAGC
rnacentral:rRNA from 1 species